UAACUUUACUCGCGUUGUCAUAGCUGUGGAGCAUCAUGAUUCGUACAAAACUUCAUCUUUAUUUGUCGUCAAACAUGUAACUUAAAAACUGAAGAACCAAUAAUAUAAUCGCUGACAAAGGACUCGGGGAAAAAUCUCGGUAAAAAUUCUCAGAGAAAUAUACAGAUUUAAAGAAAUCAGUUGAAUUUUGAACUGCUCUACGGUCCCACACGUGCAGCAUGAACUAGUCACGAUCACGACACGCGUCGAUCACGUGACACCGGCGUUUUUUAUUAGUUGUAUGGUUACCAUGGAAUUUUAGACCCAACAUAGAACGUCUGCUCGGAGGCUAAAGCGCAGUUUGCAUAGUGUUGGGUCAUUCUAUGGUAAGGAUGGUGAGGCUGGUGAGAAACACAGCAGGAACGGUAGGAAAGGAAACUUUUAAAUCUUAUUAAGCAUUAGGAUAGAAUAGACGAUCCGCUUUUUGGUAAUGUGUGAUAAUGUUAUGUGAUAAAUAAUUAACAUGUUUUGGAGAUUAUUAUGCAUUGUGUAAAUGGACCUAAAAAAGAAGGUGUAAAGGCUAAAUGGUUUUGGAAAACAUAACGCUAACAAAUAAUCAGAAGUAUCGUAGGACAUAUAAAUAUAUCUAAAUACUAUUGGAAAUUACACGUGAAUAGCUUGUUUUAAACAACCCAAAACCUUUCAACAAACCUGCAAAAUAAUAUUUUUAUCAAAACGAGUUCACCUUGAAUUGUCACCGUUGUGCCUUUACAUAUUUUUUUAUAUGAACAGUAAAACGCGGAUCCCAAAAAUCUUACAGUUCGGGGCAUCUGCCUUAACAACGGUGACAUGCAACGAACAGCAGUUCUAGUUUAGAAACGGUUUUUAUUAAAUGUCGUGACUGGUCUGGACGUACACACAGACAGACGUUUAGAAAUGACACUUUGAACUGCCCCAAAACUGCUGAUGUUUCCACUGCCCAUCUACCCUCAUCGGCUGAGGCCUCUCACCAACCACCAACCCCCGGUCAAAGUUUUUUGUUACCGCCCCGCUAAAGAUCCACUGAUUCUAAUAAUCCACUUCGUAUUUUCCCGCUCACAAUCUGUUUCCAAACAGACAAAAAACAAUGUCUUCACAAAACAAAUAGAGGAAAGGGAGGCUGCUAAAGGCAGUUCAACAUUGCAAACAUGGAUUCAAAGCUCCAUCAAGCCAGCAGAUUCAUGUGUUGGAGUGUGGUGUGCCCUAUGCAGCUCAUGGAUUGAGGCACAGUGCGGGCACAGGCUGCGGUUUACCCCAGGUUUUCAGUAGUGAGGUUAGUCGUACGUGCACUGUAAGGUGAGUGGGUCGGGAAAAGGCAUGCAUCUAAUGGUGUUCCCGUUUGCUGUGAUUUCUUCACUGACGUCGUCAUCAUCACCUGAAGCUUGUUGAUCCCCAAUCGGCAGUAGUAAAUAACUCUCUUGUUCCCCUCAGUCUUUGCGAGUCCGUCAUUGAAUGUAGUAGAGGUGCUUCUGAUGCAUUUCGCUUUCUUGUCCUGUCGUGUUAUGUUCCCAGUUUUAUUCACAAAUAUUAGUCUGUGUUAUCUGCUGUCUCGUCCUGGCAGACUUCCAGCCGUCACGCUGCUUCCUUCUUUCCAGUUCUACAAACAGUCAGUUCAUGAACUAGAUUGUCUUCGAUGUGGAGAGAUUGGAUUACUACGAGUCUCAGUCAGUUCUCACCUGCUGCACACAGCUGAGUUGUCUCUCAUUCUCUGGACAUUUACCACCGUCACCAGAGCUCUGUCACUGCCCUUCUCCAGGGAACUGAACAGUUUUUUGCGCUUUCUAGCGCUGUCAUUUAUUACCAUCACUAACUGUGUUUCUCCUCUAUAUCACAGCUCUGGACUGUUGCUGUUGACGUGCUGUCCCUUUUGGGUUGUGCCGUGGUCUGGUUCGCCGUAUAAUUCCACGGAGAUUUAAUUUUCCCCAGCCUUCACCCUGAGCCGUCAUUGCCAGGGAAUAUUCUUCGAGCUCUGUUAUCCCUUCCCCGGAUACCUUAAGUGACUUUGGUGACUGAGAGACUUAUUGUGUGUAUUCAAUAAAUAUCACUCUGCUCUGGAA